CCUACAGUUCAUAUAAGGGUUUUCUAAAUGGAUCCAAGACCGCCGUUAUUUGAGCUGUAUACUGUAAUUAUGCAUUCAACGUAAACGUUAUUUAUUUUUACAGUGGUUUAAUCGUACACGUUCUGAAUAGAAAUCUGCAACAGCUGACCUCCGGCACAGAACAAGAUGCUGUUAAUUUAAUAGAAUGGAAUCCUACUCUCUUCUGUCUUGUCCUUGCUUCAACCAAGUAACAAAUUUCUUGGCAGCCUGGUCUUGCAGGGCAAUGUCUAUAGGUUGUGAAGGUGGUGGUGAACCAGUAGGUGGCACCAUCUGGAACAGAAUUCCCAAACCAGUGACCUUGCAUGGUGACCAGAGACACGGAGCUGUGGGAGGUGCCAUCCUUUGCAUGAAGCAUUAAACCAAAACUCUGCCUACUUGGUUGUUAAAUAUUCCAUGACUCUUUUUGACGGAGUAGGGGGUCUUAUCCCUGGGGUUCUGGCUAAAGUCCACAAUGAGCUUUUACAAUCUGUUAUCCCUAAAGUUCCAACAUUAUUCCUAACCAAUUCAAGUAGUGGUUUCACUCUACAUGGACUGCAGUCUAGAAGUGAAUGCACUUUCUAAGAUCUGUGAGGCAGUAGUAUUUACUGCCACACCACUGUGCUGCUCGCUGCUAUUAAUGUGUAAUUAAUAUGACACUGCAUUAAGUUUAAAAUAUUUUUUUUUACUUAUAUUUCAGAUAUAGUUUCAAUACUUUCAGGAACAAAUAAACAC